rnacentral:rRNA from 1 species
GAUGAACGCUGGCGGCGUGCCUAAUACAUGCCAGUCGAGCGAACAGACGAGGAGCUUGCUCCUCUGACGUUAGCGGCGGACGGGUGAGUAACACGUGGAUAACCUACCUAUAAGACUGGGAUAACUUCGGGAAACCGGAGCUAAUACCGGAUAAUAUAUUGAACCGCAUGGUUCAAUAGUGAAAGACGGUUUUGCUGUCACUUAUAGAUGGAUCCGCGCCGCAUUAGCUAGUUGGUAAGGUAACGGGUUACCAAGGCGACGAUGCGUAGCCGACCUGAGAGAGGGAUCGGCCACCCGGGAAGUGAGACACGGUCCAGACGCCUACGGGAGGCAGCAGUAGGGAAUCUUACGCAAUGGGGGAAAGCCUGACGGAGCAACGCCGAGUGAGUGAUGAAGGUCUUCGGAUCGUAAAACUCUGUUAUUAGGGAAGAACAAAUGUGUAAGUAAAUAUGCACGUCUUGACGGUACCUAAUCAGAAAGCAACGGCUAACUACGUG